GAAAUCAAGAGAACUACAGAGGGCCCUUUUGGCAUUUACGCAAAGACGAUGCAGGAGGUUACGUCUCGAGAAUGGCUGCCUCUGAGGUGGUUUUAUCCCUUUGUGACACCAUAGGCCGCCUACCAUCUCUCUCUCUCUCUCUGUCUAAGUUGUGAUUUUCUCCUUCAAUGUUCAGCGAUCUUCUCUGUCCAUAAUUCACAUCCUUUUAGGGAUGAUCUGUUAUCUUCCUCUCUUUUUAUAUUGUCGGCUCGACCAAAGGCCAACUUUUAAGGGUUUUGCAAAUUUCACAUUAAAAUCUGGGAUUUUCCUCCAAAAGAUUAAAUGAUUGAAGUUGAAGAGAUUGGGGCUGAGAUUUGAGAAACGGUACGAAUAGAGAAGUCAAAAUUGUGUAUUAAUUGCGGGUUGAUUUUAAUAUCCAAUAAUAUUGAACCUUGGGCUCUUACGGCAAGCUUGAUGCACCUGUUUGUUUUAGACGAAGAGGGGGUGGGUUUCAUAUACCAAGGACUAAAACGACAGACGUCGUAAGAUUGAAAAUCUUGUUCUGUUAUCUUUCAAUAAUUUUUUCUUGGUGACCAAGCGGGGGUUAUUGUAAGUUGAUUCAAUGGAUCACCUUAUGAUGGCUGAUGACCCAUUAGGUGACAGUUCGGAUCUAGAAGUUGACGACAUAAGGUGUGAAAAUAUUGCGGAGAAAGAUGUGAGUGAUGAAGAGAUUGAAGCAGAAGAAUUGGAGAGACGAAUGUGGAAAGACCGUAUCAGACUCAAAAGGAUUAAGGAAAGACAGAAGCUCAUAGCGCAACAAGCUGCAGACAAGCAGAAGCCCAAGCAGACCUCUGAUCAGGCUCGGAGGAAGAAAAUGUCUAGAGCACAAGAUGGGAUUCUAAAAUACAUGCUGAAGCUGAUGGAAGUGUGCAAAGCUCGUGGAUUUGUGUAUGGUAUCAUUCCUGAGAAGGGUAAGCCAGUAAGUGGUGCUUCUGAUAACAUCAGAGCUUGGUGGAAAGAAAAAGUGAAGUUUGAUAAGAAUGGGCCAGCAGCCAUAGCCAAGUACGAAGCCGAGUGUCUUGCCAUGGGGGAGGCAGAUAAUAUUCGAACCGGGAACUCUCAAAGCAGUCUCCAAGAUCUGCAAGAUGCAACUCUGGGGUCGCUUUUGUCUUCUUUGAUGCAACAUUGUGACCCCCCUCAAAGGAGGUUCCCGCUAGAAAAGGGACUUCCGCCGCCUUGGUGGCCAACUGGGAAUGAAGAUUGGUGGGCAAGUUUAGGGCUGUCCCAUGGUCAAAGUCCUCCUUAUAAGAAGCCACAUGAUUUGAAGAAGAUGUGGAAAGUUGGAGUAUUAACAGCUGUGAUAAAGCAUAUGUCACCUGAUAUUGCAAAGAUACGGAGGCAUGUCCGCCAGUCAAAGUGUUUACAGGAUAAGAUGACAGCAAAAGAGAGUGCAAUCUGGUUGGGAGUUUUAAGCAGAGAGGAAGCUCUAAUUCGGCAACCUAGUAGUGAUAAUGGGGCAUCUAGUGUAACUGAUAUGCCACGACGUGGCCGUGGUGAAAAUAAGCAAGCUGCAAUUAGUAGUGAAAGUGACUAUGAUGUAGAUGGUGUUGACGAUGGUGUAGGUUCUGUUUCAUCUAAAGAUGAUCGGCGGAAUCAACCGGCAGAUGUAGAAACUUCAGAAAAUCUGCGGAAUAGCACUCCUGUGCAGGAUAAAGAUCCGGGGGAAAAGCAACCAAGGAGAAAAAGAGCUCGUGUCAGAUCUAACCCUUCUGAUCAAUUGCCUGCAACGACUCACAAUGAACAUCUACAUGCUGAGCCAAGAAUCACUGUGCCUGAUGUAAACGAUGCCAAUGGGCAGUUAGUUGAAUUCCAGAUCCAUGGAGGUAGAGAAGAAAAUGGUACAGUUAGUGCUUUGAGGCCCCUGGAGAAAGAUAAUGGUGACCAGCUCCAGCUACCUGCAUCUGAAUGUAAUCGUUUCUCUGAUCUACCUUCUGACAAUGUAAUUUCCACACAGAGCAUGUAUGUGGACGGGAGGCCGUUGCUUCAUCCUGUGGUGCAAAAUACUGAGAUGCAUCGUGAUGAUGCUGGCAACUUUUAUAAUGACUGGCAGCAGUCUCAGAUUGUAAUGAAUGAACCUCAAAUUAGGCCGGAGGAAGUUGGAGUCAUACCAAUGCUGGAUAGAAGUGCAAAUGAGAUUCCUGGAGGAGACCUGCGCUACUAUGUAAAAGACACGUAUACAAAUGAGCAACAUCGACCUGUUGAUUCACAGUAUGGUUCUGGAAUUGAUAGCCUGCCAUUAGAUUUUGGAGAAUUGAACAGUCCCUUCCAUCUUGGAUUUGAUAGCUUGAGUCAAUUUGAUGACUUUUUACCUGACGAGGACUUGAUCCAAUACUUUGGUGCAUAAAAAAUUAGUGCAGCUGAUACUUCAGAGCUUAGAUUGGACUGCAAAAAUUGCAGCAUCCAUUGCUGACCUAGCUUAAGAUCUUCCUGCCAACUCAUUGGACAUGCUUUCAGUUUUGGUGUUUUCAUUUGUGCAUUGGAUGAGGGGAGAGAGCGGGAAGGCUGCCCCCAUUCUCCACCAUCACCCCAGGCAUGGUAACAGAUCUACUCCCUACAACUCCACCUUCUCCGAUCUUGAUUUUCCCAAACUUUACUUUCCCUCCUUCACCUUCAUAUAUAUGUCCAAAUAAUAAAGCUUCUUUUCCCACACAUCCACCUCCCUGAAUCUCCACCAUUUCAGGAUUCAACAGAGCUCCCAUGCUAUCAACAUAAGUGCCUUGGUCUAAAUCAAUAUGUGAACCCAUGAACUUCAUCCAUAGGGAAAACAAGAUAGAACCACUUGUCAUUUCCAUGAAAUAAUCGCCGACUAAAGUUCUGAAGGCUUGCCAUAUAGUGUCCAUAAAGACCCGUUUACUCCAAAUCAGUAUUGUUUCACCUUCUUUCUUCUUUCCCACGAGAACCCAUUUUGCAACAACACACGCUAAUGCAGCCAAAAGCCCUGAAGAUACCCAAAAGAAAGGAAGCAACCAAUGCAGUGGGACUUUCUUGGCAUCCUUCAAGUUCAUAACCCAGCUCAAAGGAGCAAAGAUUACCAUCCCCAUCAUGAAAUAAGGAAGACCUAUCUGUAGUAAUGGUUGACCAAAAAUAGCCCACAAAGUUUGAUACCAAGUCCUGGCAAGGGUUAUUCUGUUUGAGAGUGGCGGGUGAUGUUACGGCCGAUGGUCGUACGGCCAGUGCUCGUGCGUAGGUGUCACCUGCGCAAUGGAGGCUGUUUUAUCCAUGCGUGAGCUGGGUGCUCGUGUCGUCAGGGCUCGAGAUGCCGAUGCUUGCGAUGGGCGUGAUGUCCAAGGUCACACCGGUGCUUGUGAUUAUGUAGCUGUUAGUGUGUUUAAUUUGUAGUUUUU